UUUUUUAGAAAAGACGUUACUUGGUCAAAAAUAAUCAUACAAAAUGCGAAAUGUAUUAAAAAAAAAAUUAACCAGAAACACAUGAGGGACUUCAACCAUGUGUAUCCGAGUUCUCAGCAGAUGGCUCUCUUGUGUUCCUUUGAUUCAGAGGUGAAGGCUGUCAAUGGGCUUGAAAUAACUCAGUUAUAACGGAUAGUCUUUGUUGAAGCAGAAAUGACCAGAUUCUCUGUGAAAGGAACAAAGAGCUGUCAUUCACUUUCUCACUUCACCUGGAGCAAACCCUGAUCUGUUCACAGUGGGCAGAGGAGAUGAAGGACCUGCGUUAUUCAAUAUGGAAGUGCAAUAAUACUUUUUGAUAAUUACAUUUUAUUGUAUGUAUUUUCAUGAUGAGACAAGUUGUUAACACAUGUCAUACAUAUAAACACUUUUGUAUGAAUGAACAACAAUGUAUACUUUUUAAAUUGGCCUUUCUAAAUAAAUGGUUUCCUUAAA